GGCAAGAUGGCCGAGUUGGUUAUGGCGCCAGGUUAAGGAAAAAAAACUUAUCCUUAGCAUAUAAACAUAUAAUAUCCUGGUAGGGAAACCUGCGUGGGUUCAAGUCCCACUCUUGUCA